rnacentral:lncRNA from 1 species
CACGCUUGUUACAAAGACAACAAUACAAAAACAAUGCUUCUAUAUAAUUAUGUGUGAAAAAAAAACAACUAUAUAUUUCCAUAAAUUAUUUGAUAGGUUGAUGUACACUAACCACACAUAGAAGGUUUUCACACUUACUAGAAUUUUCGCAAAAAUACGUUCGGCUACACAUAUACUGCAAUGUAAACUUGCGGACUUGUCACGUCUCAACCGCUACCUCAGGAGGUAGUGCACAUUCGCGCUCUAAGCAGGGCAGUGUAAACAGAAAUGUCUCAUUGAGCCAUCACUCGUUGAGCCAACAAUUGUAAUAGCAUAGAUAUGUUUUUGAAACAGCCUUUCCUUAUUUUUGAGACUAUAUACAGUUUUUACCUGAAAUUGUAGUAACAGCCUGUUAUGCAUUCUGAAAUUGUCGCUGAAGCUUUAAAUCUCAACAGUGUUUAUUUAUUUAUUUUUUGGACUACACUGAGCCACCAAGGUCCAGGCAAGAAGCAACUCCCAUGGGAAUUAUCAACAUUUUCACUCGCAAUUUGCUUUUACAUCAUAUAAUGUAUUCCACGAUCAAUUGAAGCCAGCUUUGUUCUAAGGUAACCUUAAUACAGUAGCUAGUGUAAGCCUAAGAGCUCCCAUGGUUCAGCUAAAAGUUAGCAUUCACCUACAGCUAGCAUGUUUAUGUGAGGAUGCAGCCAUUAUUUAGCUAGCUUGCGAGCAGUUACCUACCUGUGUAGCCUAUAUUAUAAUAUGAAUGACACUGUAUGAUAACGUUACAGCACUUUUAUUCAGUAUUCGUAUGCGAGGGGUAAAUGUUCAUUAUUGAUAUGCUAACGUUACUUGAUCAUGAAGCAUGUCGUUAGUUAAAGCUAUGGCUAUAAUUUCAGAACGAAACAGGCCGUUACUAUAAAAACGAAUUUCAGCUUUUUCAAAAACAUUGCUAUGCUGUUACAAUUUUUACUGUAAGUGUUGGCUCAACAAGACAUUCCUGUUUACACUGCCCUGCUUAGAGGGCGCUAGCUCUGGAGGUAGCGGUCGAGAUGUGACAAGUUAGUUUGAAUCAACAUGCAGUACCUCCAGCAGGAACAGAGGCAAUAACCAUUAAUCCGCCAGCUCAGGGACAAGCUACACUAUUCACAGCCCUGUGUAAUGUUCAAUGUCAUAGCAUUGCUGAACUUUUUAAAACUUUGUGUGUUUGUAUUGUUUUAAAAACAUACAAAUAAAAGGAAAUGUAUAGUUG